rnacentral:rRNA from 1 species
GAUGAACGCUAGCGACAGGCUUAACACAUGCAAGUCGAGGGGCAGCGGGGGUGCAGGCUUGCCUGCACCUGCCGGCGACCGGCGCACGGGUGAGUAACACGUAUCCAACCUGCCGAUGACUCGGGGAUAGCCUUUCGAAAGAAAGAUUAAUACCCGAUGGCAUAGUUCUUCCGCAUGGUAGAACUAUUAAAGAAUUUCGGUCAUCGAUGGGGAUGCGUUCCAUUAGCUUGUUGGCGGGGUAACGGCCCACCAAGGCAUCGAUGGAUAGGGGUUCUGAGAGGAAGGUCCCCCACAUUGGAACUGAGACACGGUCCAA